rfam:Loxodonta africana unplaced genomic scaffold scaffold_11, whole genome shotgun sequence.
GCAGUGGUGGUUCAGUGGUAGGAUGCUCACCCUCCAUGCGGAAGACCUGGGUUCGAUUCCUGGCCAGUACA